rnacentral:rRNA from 1 species
AGCGAACGUUAGCGGCGCGCCUAACACAUGCAAGUCGCACGAGAAAGGGGGCAACCCCCGGUACAGUGGCGCACGGGUGAGUAACACGUGGGUGAUCUGCCCAGAAGAAGGGGAUAACCUCUCGAAAGGGGGGCUAAUACCGCAUAGGACCACCGGGGCUUUGGCUCUGUGGUGAAAGGGGGCCUCUGUUUACAAGCUCCUGCUUCUGGAUGAGCCCGCGUCCCAUCAGCUAGUUGGUAGGGUAAUGGCCUACCAAGGCUACGACGGGUAGCUGGUCUAAGAGGAGGGCCAGCAACACUGGAACUGAGACAAGGUCCAGACUCCUACGGGAGGCAGCAGUGGGGAAUCUUGCGCAAUGGGCGAAAGCCUGACGCAGCGACGCCGCGUGGGUGACGAAGGCCUUCGGGUUGUAAAGCCCUGUGGGGUAGAACGAACUGGCAUCGGGCUAAUAGGCCAGGGGUCUGACGGUAUCGCCUUAGCAAGCACCGGCUAACUCUGUGCCAGCAGCCGCCGUAACAC